ensembl:rRNA 5S_rRNA 5S ribosomal RNA
GUCUGCAGCCAUGCCACCCUGAACAUGCCUGAUCUUGUCUGACCUCAGAAGCUAAGCAGGGUUGGGUCUGGUUACUACUUGGAGAGGAAACCACCUAAGAUACCAGGUGCUGUACGCA